GACGAACGCUGGCGGCGUGCUUAACACAUGCAAGUCGAACGGUGAAGCGGAGCUUGCUAUGCGGAUCAGUGGCGAACGGGUGAGUAACACGUGAGCAACCUACCCUUGACUCUGGGAUAACAGUUGGAAACAGCUGCUAAUACCGGAUAUGACCCUGGUGGACAUCCACUGGGGUGGAAAGCUACGACGGUCAAGGAUUGGCUCGCGGACUAUCAGCUUGUUGGCGAGGUAACGGCUCACGAAGGCGUCGACGGGUAGCCGGCCUGAGAGGGCGACCGGCAUCACUGGGAGUGAGAUACGGACUAGACAGCAACGGGAGGGAGCAGUGGGGAACAUAGCACAUUGGGCGGAAGCCUGACGCAGCUACGCGCCGGGUGGGCUGACGGGAUGCGGUUUGACAACCGCUUUCAGCAGGGACGAGGAGUUUCUGGCGGUACCUGCAGAAGAAGCACCAGCGAACUAGGUGCCAGCAGCCGCCGUAA
rnacentral:rRNA from 1 species